UACGGAGGGUGCGAGCGUUAUCCGGAAUUACUGGGUUUAAAGGGUGCGUAGGCGGCUUGGUAAGUCAGGAGUGAAAGUUUGCAGCUCAACUGUAAAAUUGCUUUUGAUACUGCCGAGCUGGAAUCAGGAUGAGGUCAGCGGAAUGUGGCAUGUAGCGGUGAAAUGCAUAGAUAUGCCAUAGAACACCAAUUGCGAAGGCAGCUGGCUAGACCUGUAUUGACGCUGAGGCACGAAAGCGUGGGGAGCGAAC
rnacentral:rRNA from 1 species